ensembl:lncRNA
CCGGGAGGUGCUCUCCAGCCCUCGCCGUGCUGUGACCCCACGCAGCCCUGCGCGGCCUCCGUGCCGCGGCAGCCAGCAGUCACUCCAGCACCGCUUUCAUUCCCCAUCCGUAAACACGGCGGUGCGGGCGCUGCUCCAGGUGCGGUUCAGGCAGCGCCGCUGCGGGGGCUGCACCUCGCGCCGGGUGGGGCUGCAGCUGGGGGCUGUAAUUGCCGCAGCCACCGACUUUCAUCCACCUCUGUGCGUGAGUCAGAGCCCCCCGGGGCUCCGGUUGGGAGUUUGGGUUCGCUAUAUAUAGUCAGUGGGGCCACCGGGAGGCAAGAGAGGAGCCUGCCCCUCCCCCCGGGUACCGAAGGUGGGGAGAAAUCCCUCGAGAUGGGGAGUUAAGGAAACCCGUUCUGCCGAGCGCAGAGCCCAUCUGUGGUCGCUGCUGCAGUUCAUCUGCGGCAGAGGCACCGUCUCAGCCACAUGAAUUCGCCUGGAGAAGACGCCCGGCUGCGGCUGCCGGGUGGUUCUGUGGGGCUCCAGGCGUCCUGUGGGACUUUAUGGGGCUCUUCCAAGUGGUUCGGUGGGGCUCCGGGCAUCCUAUGGGGCGCAGGCAUCAUGCUCACCCCAAUGGGGCUCUUCCGAGGGGUUGUAUGGGCACCACACAUCGAGCUCACCGCAGUGGGUGUCCUGGCACCUAAUGGCCACUCUGCCCUCUGCAUCGCUCCCCGUGUUUGAGCUCCUCCACCAUCAGUGCCCUGAGCAGACCCACGGAGCCAUGGGGCGUAUGGGGCUGGAGCUCAGUGCAGCAGCGGUGAGGAGCCACAUCAGCCCUGCCGGGGAGACGGCUGCGAGUCGGGGCUCCGUCUGCGCCGGCCCUAUGAGCAGCACUCGGCCGAACGCUGCGAUGCAGCAAUGCCCCGGCACACAUGUUCGUGGUUUUGAGGGCUAAAUUGGACCUUGAGAAUUAGCAGCCUUGUAAGUCAAUAACAACACGUCCUAAUGAAUGCAAGAUGUCCCCAGGAAACGAGGGCUCCUGCUCCCAGCUGGGAUCCUGCGACUGGGAGAGGACCAGUAAACAAGAAGGAAUGCUCCAUCCGGAGAUGAGCAGGAGAUACGAAGCCGACAUCUAGAUUGCCAACUCGCCCCGAACGUGGGCGGUGGGGGGCAGCAGCGUUGUGAAAGGCGGCCCUGCGCCGGUGCCCCCCGCAUCUCCCCUGGGUGGAGCAGCCUUUGCAAACCGCCCAUUGGAUGCCACGUUUCCCCCUCGCCAUCCCCUGGAAUGCGGCCGCUCCCCGCUGAGCCGCGGCGUCGCUGCUGCUUGCGUAAGGGUGAGGGCUGCGCUUCCCUCCUCUCCCCGCUCCGGGAUGACGGGUGUUGGGCACUCAGCAAACGCUUCGUGUCCCCGCCGAGCCCUGCAGGCCAGCUGCCUCCAGCCCAGCGUGUGACAGCGUGCUGCACGAGGGCUCGUGGCCCCCCAGCUCCCCUCUGCUCCGUGAUCCCAUCAGAGCGCUGCUGGGCUCUGCCCGCCGUGCCUCCGUCGCACCAAAGGGGGGUCAGGUUGGGCGGUGGGAACAGCUGAAAGGUGGCGGUGUGUCGGCGCAGGGAGCGCUGGGGGUCCCUGGAGGUGUUUGAGGGACGUGGGGGUGGGGGUCUCGGAGACAUGGAUGGGUUGAGGUUGGAGAUCUCAGAGGUCUUCUCCAAUCUUAAUGGUUGGAGAGGAACGGUUCUGUUUUGGGUCACAGCAGGAUGGGUUGGGGUUGGAGAUGGGGGUUGUGGAGGUCUCCUCCAACCCUAUUGAUUCUAUGGUUCUAUUUGGGGUCAUAGCGGGAUGGGUUGGGGUUGGAGAUGGGGGCUGUGGAGGUCUCCUCCAACCCUAAUGAUUCUAUGGUUCUAUUUGGGGUCACGGCGGGAUGGGUUGGGGUUGGAUGAGAGGGCCAUGGAGCUGCUCUCCAACCUCAGUGAUUCUGUGGCUCCAUGUGGGGUCGCGGUGGGAUGGGGUGGGGUUGGUGGGCUCGGAGGUCUCCCCCCACCUCAGUAACUACGAUUCUCCCUCGUGGCAGCGCCAGAGCUGCUCGGAAACGGAUCCCUCCGCCACUCAUGUUGGUGCUCACACUGCGUCCCCCCCCGGCACGCGGCCCCCUCCCGUUGGGUGCCAUCAGAACAGCCGACACCCCAAACUCACAGCCGGCCUUUCCCUGGAGAUGGGCCGUGGCCGCAGCUGUGCCGUCCGACCGGCCGCGCUCAGAGCGCCCAGCAGCUCUCCCAUCUCCCCGCCCGUGGACGCGGCCCCGCGCCGUCCCAUCCGGGAGGGGAGCGCAGAGCAGUGCCCGCGGCGCUCACCCAACGCACGCGCGUGGAAAGGAACCGCUUCGUGUGCAAAAAGAGAGAAAAUAAAAGCUGCCGUUCUGCAGAGGCGAUGGGUGUGUGCGUGUGUGGGCGCUCAGGCUUCGCAGCAGCGACCUCGGACGCCCGGAAAAAUAAAUAAAAA